GUUUGCACUCAUCGGGGAAGGGUGAGAACCUUCGACUAAGGUUCGAUUCGAGCGAAAGCGAGAGAACGUUGCCACAGGCAACGGCCCGAAGGGUGAGGAGCGAAGCGACGAAUAAUCCUUCCCCCGCCACCA
rnacentral:sRNA from 1 species